AGACAAGAUCAGCAUGGUCCCUGUGCAAGGAUGACAUGCAAAUUUAUGAAGCAUUCCAUAUUUUU
rnacentral:snRNA from 1 species